rnacentral:rRNA from 1 species
GUGUCAGCAGCCGCGGUAAUACGUAGGUGGCGAGCGUUGUCCGGAAUUACUGGGUGUAAAGGGCGUGUAGGCGGGAAGGUAAGUCAGAUGUGAAAUACCGGGGCUCAACCCCGGGGCUGCAUUUGAAACUAUCUUUCUUGAGUGCAGGAGAGGAAAGUGGAAUUCCUAGUGUAGCGGUGAAAUGCGUAGAUAUUAGGAGGAACACCAGUGGCGAAGGCGACUUUCUGGACUGUAACUGACGCUGAGGCGCGAAAGCGUGGGGAGCGAACAGGAUUAGAAACCCUUGUAGUCC